rnacentral:rRNA from 1 species
GAUGAACGCUGGCGGCGUGCCUAAUACAUGCCAGUCGAGCGAACAGACGAGGAGCUUGCUCCUCUGACGUUAGCGGCGGACGGGUGAGUAACACGUGGAUAACCUACCUAUAAGACUGGGAUAACUUCGGGAAACCGGAGCUAAUACCGGAUAAUAUAUUGAACCGCAUGGUUCAAUAGUGAAAGACGGUUUUGCUGUCACUUAUAGAUGGAUCCGCGCCGCAUUAUCUAGUUGGUAAGGUAACGGCUUACCAAGGCAACGAUGCGUAGCCGACCUGAGAGGGUGAUCGGCCACACUGAAACUGAGACACGGUCCAGACUCCGACGGGAGGGAGCAGUAGGGAAUGUGCCGCAAUGGGCGAAAGCUUGACGGAGCAGCGCCGAGUGAGUGAUGAAGGUGUCCGGAUCGGAAAACUCUGUUAUUAGGGAAGACCAAAUGUGUAAGUAACUAUGCACGUCUUGACGGUACCUAAUCAGAAAGCCACGGCUAACUACGUG